AAAAAGGGCGCUCGUCUUUGCACUUACUAAUAUGCAAAAGAUCACAGAACAUUGUUCUGUGUGCGGACGCAUUGCAGCAUUGCCGUUCAAUUGAUUGGACUAGGCAUAGCUUUUUUGCUUUGUCUCUGUAGUUCAUGUGAAUGGUUGAAUGCUUCAGUGGGGUAUGGCUUUGCAUAUCCAGUGCGUAAUUUUUGUAAAGAUGAGAAUGGGGGCUGCCGUAUCAAAGUGGAUUGCAGUCGAUCCAGAUGUGAUUGAUUAGCGUGCCAUUUUG